AAGCAGUCGAUUGCUCUUUCUUUUCUAGCCCACACCAGUUAUCCUGUUGAAAGAGGGGACUGAUAGCUCCCAAGGCAUCCCCCAGCUUGUAAGUAACAUCAGUGCCUGCCAGGUGAUUGCUGAAGCCAUAAGAACCACCCUGGGCCCCCGUGGCAUGGACAAGCUCCUUGUGGAUGGCCGAGGAAAAGCCACAAUUUCUAAUGAUGGGGCCACAAUUCUGAAACUCCUUGACGUUGUCCAUCCUGCAGCAAAGACUUUAGUGGACAUUGCCAAAUCC